UCACAAACCCUAAACCCUAACGCCGCUCUGGUCAGCGUCAAUUCCCUCUUCGAACGCACUGUCCUCGGAGGUCUCUCCCCUUCCAUUUCUCCACCUUCCACGUCACCACCACGAACCGGUCCCACUUUGGUCACUCCGUUAGUUACAUCCUCCCUACCCGGCCUACUGAAAUAAACUCCCUGAGAUUUCCGAUCCUUGUUUCCGGCUUCCGACGGAGGAGUAGGUGUCGGAGGUAAACUUAAAUUCUCACAGGAAAGUUUAUGUGGGGAUCGAACUGGAGAGUAGUACUUGUCUACAGAAACCAAGGCUUUUGAAGAGAGCGAUUUCGUUUCCCGGUCAUCGAAAUGCAACUGCGAUUCGAAAUGGAGUGGUGAGUGGAAGGAGUCCAUUUGACUCACCUGUGAGUCGGUGUCGG
rnacentral:misc_RNA from 1 species